rnacentral:rRNA from 1 species
AACGAACGCUGGCGGCAGGCUUAACACAUGCAAGUCGAACGCCCCGCAAGGGGAGUGGCAGACGGGUGAGUAACGCGUGGGAAUCUACCCAGUUCUACGGAACAACAGUUGGAAACGACUGCUAAUACCGAAUACGCCCUCCGGGGGAAAGAUUUAUCGGAAUUGGAUGAGCCCGCGUAAGAUUAGCUAGUUGGUGAGGUAAUGGCUCACCAAGGCGACGAUCUUUAGCUGGUCUGAGAGGAUGAUCAGCCACACUGUGACUGAGACACGGCCCAGACUCCUACGGGAGGCAGCAGUGGGGAAUAUUGGACAAUGGGCGCAAGCCUGAUCCAGCCAUGCCGCGUGAGUGAUGAAGGCCUUAGGGUUGUAAAGCUCUUUCAGUAGGGAAGAUAAUGACGGUACCUACAGAAGAAGCCCCGGCUAACUUCGUGCCAGCAGCCGCCGUAACAC